AACGAACGCUGGCGGCAUGCCUAACACAUGCAAGUCGAACGAGACCUUCGGGUCUAGUGGCGCACGGGUGCGUAACGCGUGGGAAUCUGCCCUUGGGUUCGGAAUAACAGUGAGAAAUUACUGCUAAUACCGGAUGAUGUCGCAAGACCAAAGAUUUAUCGCCCAGGGAUGAGCCCGCGUAGGAUUAGCUAGUUGGUGAGGUAAAGGCUCACCAAGGCGACGAUCCUUAGCUGGUCUGAGAGGAUGAUCAGCCACACUGGGACUGAGACACGGCCCAGACUCCUACGGGAGGCAGCAGUGGGGAAUAUUGGACAAUGGGCGAAAGCCUGAUCCAGCAAUGCCGCGUGAGUGAUGAAGGCCCUAGGGUUGUAAAGCUCUUUUACCCGGGAUGAUAAUGACAGUACCGGGAGAAUAAGCCCCGGCUAACUCCGUGCCAGCAGCCGCCGUAA
rnacentral:rRNA from 1 species